AGAGUUUGAUCCUGGCUCAGGAUGAACGCUAGCGACAGGCUUAACACAUGCAAGUCGAGGGGCAACGGGACGUAGCAAUACGUUGCCGGCGACCGGCGGAUGGGUGAGUAACGCGUAUGCAACCUACCCACGACAGGGGGAUAGCCCGUUGAAAGACGGAUUAAUACCCCAUAAAACAGGGGUUCCGCAUGGGACUAUUUGUUAAAGGGUUCUCCGCGAGGGGGACCUCGGUUGUGGAUGGGCAUGCGUUCCAUUAGGCAGUUGGUGAGGUAACGGCUCACCAAACCGACGAUGGAUAGGGGAACCGAGAGGUUGGUCCCCCACACUGGUACUGAGAUACGGACCAGACUCCUACGGGAGGCAGCAGUGAGGAAUUUUGGUCAAUGGACGGAAGUCUGAACCAGCCAAGUCGCGUGAAGGAAGGCGGCCCUAAGGGUUGUAAACUUCUUUUGUAAGGGAAUAAAGUGCGUUACGUGUAGUGCAUUGCAAGUACCUUACGAAAAAGGAUCGGCUAACUCCGUGCCAGCAGCCGCGGUAAUACGGAGGAUUCGAGCGUUAUCCGGAUUUAUUGGGUUUAAAGGGUGCGUAGGCGGGUUUGUAAGUCAGUGGUGAAAGUUUCCGGCUUAACCGGGAGAAUGCCGUUGAGACUGCAAAUCUUGAGUGCAAGCGAGGUAAGUGGAAUGUGUUGUGUAGCGGUGAAAUGCAUAGAUAUAACACAGAACACCGAUUGCGAAGGCAGCUUACUAGUAUGUAACUGACGCUGAGGCACGAAAGCGUGGGGAGCAAACAGGAUUAGAUACCCUGGUAGUCCACGCAGUAAACGAUGAAUACUAGCUGUAUGCGAUAGACAGUAUGCGGCGGAGCGAAAGCAUUAAGUAUUCCACCUGGGGGAGUACGUCGGCAACGAUGAAACUCAAAUGAAUUGACGG
rnacentral:rRNA from 1 species